UACGUAGGUGGCAAGCGUUGUCCGGAUUUACUGGGCGUAAAGAGCGCGCAGGCGGUCGUUCAAGUCGCGUGUGAAAGCCCCCGGCUCAACUGGGGAGGGUCACGCGAUACUGAUCGACUCGAAGGCAGGAGAGGGUAGUGGAAUUCCCGGUGUAGUGGUGAAAUGCGUAGAUAUCGGGAGGAACACCAGUGGCGAAGGCGGCGACCUGUCCGUGACUGACGCUGGAGGCGCGAAAGCGUGGGGAGCAAACAGGG
rnacentral:rRNA from 1 species